UACAGAGGGUGCAAGCGUUGUUCGGAAUUAUUGGGCGUAAAGGGCGCGUAGGCGGUGCGUCAAGUGUGAUGUGAAAGCCCUGGGCUCAACCUGGGAAUGGCAUCACGGACUGACGUGCUGGAGUACUGUAGAGGACAGUGGAAUUUCCGGUGUAGCGGUGAAAUGCGUAGAGAUCGGAAGGAACACCAGUGGCGAAAGGCGGCUGUCGUGGACAGAUACUGACGCUGAGGCGCGAGAGCGUGGGGAGCAAACAGG
rnacentral:rRNA from 1 species